GACGUAGGGCGCAAGCGUGUCCGGAAUUAUUGGGCGUAAAGAGCUCGUAGGCGGCUUGUUGCGUCGACUGUGAAAAACCACGACUCAACCGUGGGACUGCAGUCGAUACGGGCAGGCUAGAGUUCGGUAGGGGAGACUGGAAUUCCUGGUGUAGCGGUGAAAUGCGCAGAUAUCAGGAGGAACACCGGUGGCGAAGGCGGGUCUCUGGGCCGAUACUGACGCUGAGGAGCGAAAGCGUGGGGAGCGAACAGG
rnacentral:rRNA from 1 species